CCUACGGGGGGCAGCAGUGGGGAAUAUUGGACAAUGGGGGGAACCCUGAUCCAGCGACGCCGCGUGAGUGAAGAAGUAUUUCGGUAUGUAAAGCUCUAUCAGCAGGGAAGAAAGCAAUGACGGUACCUGACUAAGAAGCCCCGGCUAACUACGUGCCAGCAGCCGCGGUAAUACGUAGGGGGCAAGCGUUAUCCGGAUGUACUGGGUGUAAGGGGAGCGUAGACGGCGAUGCAAGUCUGAAGUGAAAGGCGGGGGCCCAACCCCCGGAUUGCUUUGGAAACUGUAUGGCUGGAGUGCAGGAGAGGUAAGUGGAAUUCCUAGUGUAGCGGUGAAAUGCGUAGAUAUUAGGAGGAACACCAGUGGCGAAAGCGGCUUACUGGACUGUAACUGACGUUGAGGCUCGAAAGCGUGGGGAGCAAACAGGAUUAGAUACCCCAGUAGUC
rnacentral:rRNA from 1 species